rnacentral:rRNA from 1 species
GAUCCUGGCUCAGGAUGAACGCUGGCGGCGUUGCUUAACACAUGCAAGUCGAACGAAGAUGCCGGAGUGCUUGCACUUUGGCAGACUGAGUGGCGGACGGGUGAGUAACGCGUGGGUAACCUGCCUUAUACAGGGGGAUAACAGUUGGAAACGACUGCUAAUACCGCAUAAGCGCACGGUAUCGCAUGAUACAGUGUGAAAAACUCCGGUGGUAUAAGAUGGACCCGCGUCUGAUUAGCUAGUUGGUGAGGUAACGGCCCACCAAGGCGACGAUCAGUAGCCGGCCUGAGAGGGUGAUCGGCCACAUUGGGGCUGAGACACGGCCCAGACUCCUACGGGAGGCAGCAGUGGGGAAUAUUGCACAAUGGGGGAAACCCUGAUGCAGCAACGCCGCGUGAGUGAUGACGGCCUUCGGGUUGUAAAGCUCUGUCUUCAGGGACGAUAAUGACGGUACCUGAGGAGGAAGCCACGGCUAACUACGUG